UACGAAGGGGGCUAGCGUUGCUCGGAAUUACUGGGCGUAAAGCGUGCGCAGGCGGUUCGUUGUGUCGGUGGUGAAAUCCCCGGGCUCAACCUGGGAAUGGCGAUGAAGACUGCAAGGCUAGAAUCUGGCGAGAGGGGGGUGAGAAUUCCACGUGUAGCAGUGAAAUGCGUAGAGAUGUGGGAGGAACAACCGGAUGGCGCA
rnacentral:rRNA from 1 species